rnacentral:sRNA from 1 species
AUCUGGAUACAGUUAAUCAGGAUUGUCCGGAGGAGUUGGCCAUGUAUACCGAUGCAGUUGUUAUUGCAGGAAUUGUAACCGUAUUACUGAUGGUGGGUUUUUUUGUCGGCGUCGGAGUAUUCGUUCUCAAGGACGCAAAGCAUCAGCUGGGGGAUCACGGGAGGCAUUCAG